UACGUAGGGUCCGAGCGUUGUCCGGAAUUAUUGGGCGUAAAGAGCUCGUAGGCGGUCUGUCACGUCGGCUGUGAAAACACGGGGCUCAACUCCGUGCCUGCAGUCGAUACGGGCAGACUAGAGUUCGGUAGGGGAGACUGGAAUUCCUGGUGUAGCGGUGAAAUGCGCAGAUAUCAGGAGGAACACCUGUGGCGAAGGCGGCUUUCUGGGCCUUACCUGACGCUGAGACGCGAAAGCGUGGGGAGCGAACCGG
rnacentral:rRNA from 1 species